GGAUUGGAUCAAUUUUACCAGCACAUUGCUCUACUGUAUUAAAAAAAAAAGGACAUUUCAGCAAGCAUUCAGGUGCCGACUAAUGAAUGCAGAAAAGGUGCAGGUACCUCAGAACCUCAACAAACUCACUUCAGUUGUUUUUAUUUUAUUCAGUUUUCUGGGUUUCUCUUUAUCGGUCUGUCUUCUGAGCGGAGCAUCUGUGACAUAAAGGAAAACCACCUACCAUCUUAGAAAACGCAAUGCUGCAAACUGUGGAGGAAACUUAAGACUGUUAUAUAAAGAAUACACCUUCCUCAAAAGGAUUUUUUUCCCCAUUUUGUUUUGGUUUUGGGUUCAGUUCCUUUUGGUUCUUGGUUUUUUUUGGAAGUGAGCUUCAAAAAAAACAGCAGAUGUGUCUUUUACGGAUCUAACGGGUGUCAUUGUAACAUGGAAAAAAGUAACUGGGCAGAGAAUGUUAAUUCUUGAUGGUAGAAUUGAAGGGGGGAGCGUAGAAUAGGGGUGGGGAGAGUGACGUUGGAUUUGGCAGCAUUUGGGGAAACAUCAUUUGCUAUGGAGCUACUUCUCAGGUAACCAUUAGAGGAGAGGAAGGACAUUUCUGGGCAGAAGGCAGCUCAGCAGCAGCAGUGAUUAUUGCAGCAUCUCUCCGACUGGUUUCUUUGACGCUGCUUUCUCCUUACUCUGUGACAAAACUCUUUUGUCUUAAAGUGGUGCAUAUUCUAAAAUACCAUUACUCUUAUUAUGCCAUAAACUCGCUCUAGUCAGUGAAUGUUCCUAAUGCUGCUGAUUCAACAUUGAAAUAUUUUUUUAAUUUGCAAAACAUGCAAAGUUUAAAAAAGAAAAAGAAAAAAACCUAAAAAAAAAAAAGAGAACCAACAAACACAAAACACACACACGUUACGUGGCUUCCGAGGUUUAAACUGAAAAAAAAUUUAAAACUUCAUGACCACAGACCACCUCAAACCAGAAAUACCUCAGAAUUUUCUACUUGUAUGAGUUUUAUUAUAUAUUUUGUUAGUUGUGUUGUCUUGUAGUAAGUAUAUUUUAAUGUAAGUUGGCUUUUAUGACAAGGGAGUUUUAAAAAAAGAAAAAAAAAAAAAAGAA
rnacentral:lncRNA from 1 species